rnacentral:rRNA from 1 species
AAGAAGGCUUCGGUUGUAAGCACUUUUGUCCGGAAAGAAAACUUCUGCCCUAAUACGGUGGGAGGAUGACGGUACCGGAAGAAUAAGCACCGGCUAACUACGUGC